GACGAACGCUGGCGGCGUGCUUAACACAUGCAAGUCGAACGGAAAGGCCCUGCUUUUGUGGGGUGCUCGAGUGGCGAACGGGUGAGUAACACGUGAGUAACCUGCCCUUGACUUUGGGAUAACUUCAGGAAACUGGGGCUAAUACCGGAUAGGAGCUCCUGCUGCAUGGUGGGGGUUGGAAAGUUUCGGCGGUUGGGGAUGGACUCGCGGCUUAUCAGCUUGUUGGUGGGGUAGUGGCUUACCAAGGCUUUGACGGGUAGCCGGCCUGAGAGGGUGACCGGCGACAUUGGGACUGAGAUAAGGCCCAGACUCCUACGGGAGGCAGCAGUGGGGAAUAGUGCACAAUGGGCGGAAGCCUGAUGCAGCAACGCCGCGUGCGGGAUGACGGCCGUCGGGUUGUAAACCGCUUUCGCCUGUGACGAAGCGUGAGUGACGGUAAUGGGUAAAGAAGCACCGGCUAACUACGUG
rnacentral:rRNA from 1 species